rnacentral:lncRNA from 1 species
CCCAUGUAGCCUGAUAUGAGUUCAUGGAGCUGGAAUUCAAAACACUAACCAGCUGUGGGAACCCAGUGAGAAGCCUGUCACACUGAAUGGUAUCCAGAUUAGAGCUGUGAGAAUUUGGGAAAACCCUUCUCGCUAAGCUCUUUACUCAGAGAAAGGACAACAAGGCCAGCUGGACUUCAGGCCUCAGGCCACACUUGGUUUUCUCAGGUUUCUCUGCACACAAAGGCCCAAAAUAAUUUUCCGUCAUGACCUGGCCAGGAAGUAGAGCCGGCUCUCAGGGUGGCCACUGAAAAUGGGCAUGUGAACUUGGUUAUCUGUCCUUAGUGGGGUCUGUAUCAUCACCCAAUUUGAUUUUCCUAUCCAGAUGGUAUUUUUUUCCUGCUGAGGCAAUGCUUAGGUAGAAG